CCUGAUCUAGCCAUGCCGCGUGAUCGAUGAAGGCCUUAGGGUUGUAAAGAUCUUUCAGUUGGGAAGAUAAUGACGGUACCAACAGAAGAAGCCCCGGCUAACUCCGUGCCAGCAGCCGCGGUAAUACGGAGGGGGCUAGCGUUAUUCGGAAUUACUGGGCGUAAAGCGCACGUAGGCGGAUCAGAAAGUCAGAGGUGAAAUCCCAGGGCUCAACCUUAGAACUGCCUUUGAAACUCCUGGUCUUGAGGUCGAGAGAGGUGAGUGGAAUUCCGAGUGUAGAGGUGAAAUUCGUAGAUAUUCGGAGGAACACCAGUGGCGAAGGCGGCUCACUGGCUCGAUACUGACGCUGAGGUACGAAAGCAUGGGGAGCAAACAGGAUUAGAUACCCUGGUAGUCCAUGCCGUAAACGAUGUCUACUAGCCGUUGGGGCCUUUGAGGCUUUAGUGGCGCAGCUAACGCGAUAAGAG
rnacentral:rRNA from 1 species